UACGUAGGGGGCAAGCGUUGUCCGGAAUUAUUGGGCGUAAAGAGCUCGUAGGCGGCCCGUCUAGUCGGAUGUGAAAUCUCACGGCUCAACCGUGAAACUGCAUCCGAUACUGGCGGGCUUGAGGCAGGUAGAGGAAGGUGGAAUUCCUGGUGUAGCGGUGAAAUGCGCAGAUAUCAGGAGGAACACCAGUGGCGAAGGCGGCCUUCUGGGCCUGUCCUGACGCUGAGGAGCGAAAGCGUGGGUAGCGAACAGG
rnacentral:misc_RNA from 1 species